UACGUAGGUGGCGAGCGUUGUCCGGAUUUAUUGGGCGUAAAGCGCGCGCAGGUGGUGCGGUAAGUCUGUCGUGAAAUCUCCCGGCUCAACUGGGAGGGUGCGGUGGAGACUGCCGGACUGGAGGCACUCAGAGGCCGGUGGAAUUCCCGGUGUAGUGGUGAAAUGCGCAGAUAUCAGGAGGAACACCGGUGGCGAAGGCGGUUCUCUGGGCAUGUCCUGACGCUGAGGAGCGAAAGCGUGGGGAGCGAACAGG
rnacentral:rRNA from 1 species